GGAGGGGUGUCCGAGCGGUUUAAGGAGCUGGUCUUGAAAAUCAGUGUCUCGAAAGAGCCGUGGGUUCGAAUCCCACCCCCUCCG
rfam:Tepidanaerobacter syntrophicus DNA, contig Tsynt_8, strain: JL.